GUUACAAAACCAUGCAUUAGUUUCAUCUUGGAGGCCCGUCCAUUCACACGUGCCUUACAUACCAUUCAUGAGUAAACCGGUUCCUUUGAAAGAGAAACCAUGACUGGUAGAAAAAUAUUAAUAUGGAAUCUCUCAGUUUGGCCAGAAGAUUUUCCGUAAGGACCUGUUCUUGAACUUGGCUAAGGUUAGUUACCACCCGUUUCUGUAAUGACCUGUCACAAUGAUGAUGGCUGGAGUUGGAACCAACUCAGAGUGGAACGAAACCAUCAUUCUGAUACGAUUCUCGAUUGAAGGUGGACGAUCAUGUGGUUCAGUUCAGUUGCAGUCGUUUGGAUAGUUACGGUUAUCGUACAACUUGGUAGUGCUAUGGGUGCCGAGAAAACGAUCGCUGAUAAUGAAGUUUAUGUUAAAAAAUUAAUCAAUAAACAUAAUGUGGAUCACUACUUGUUUUCAUAUUCGUUGAGUGAUGGCCAGUUUCGAUAUGAACGAGGACGUUUUAAAACAUUCUUGGAUGAAAGCAAAGUGCCAGUGUGGUUCGUUACGGGAAGAUACGGAUACAAGUUAAGUAAUGGGAAGCUGAUCGCCUAUAAAUAUAUUGCUGAUGAGAACGGCUUCAGACAACAAAAACUUGGUGAAAAUGAUGAUAUUGAAGAUUUUGGAACCGUUGGAAACAGAAUAGAUCCGAAGACAUUGGCAUCAUUAGUAGGGUGAAUAAGUUGUUAGCACAUUUUUGUCGAAAUAUAUUAUUUGUUGUAGCAAAUUA